rnacentral:rRNA from 1 species
AACGCGAAGAACCUUACCCAGGCUUGACAUCCUGCCAAUUUCUCCGAAAGGAGAGAGUGCCUUCGGGCCGCAGUGACAGGUGAUGCAUGGCCGUCGUCAGCUCGUGUCGUGAGAUGUUUGGUUAAGUCCAUCAACGAGCGCAACCCUUAUAGUUAGUUGUAUUUUCUAGCUAGACUGCCCUGGCAACAGGGAGGAAGGAGGGGAUGAUGUCAGGUCAGUAUUUCCCUUACGUCUGGGGCUACAAACACGCUACAAUGGCCGGUACAAAGGGCAGCCAAGUCGCGAGACGGAGCAAAUCCCAUCAAAGCCGGUCUCAGUUCGGAUUGCAGGCUGAAACUCGCCUGCAUGAAGCCGGAAUCGCUAGUAACGGUAGGUCAGCACACUACCGUGAAUACGUUCCCGGGCCUUGUACACACCGAGACGUA